rnacentral:rRNA from 1 species
CUACGGGGCGCUCCAGUGAGGAAUAUUGCACAAUGGGGGGAACCCUGAUGCAGCAACGCCGCGUGGAGGAUGACGCAUUUCGGUGUGUAAACUCCUUUUAUAUGUCAAGAAAAUGACGGUAGCAUAUGAAUAAGCACCGGCUAACUCCGUGCCAGCAGCCACGGUAAUACGGAGGGUGCAAGCGUUACUCGGAAUCACUGGGCGUAAAGGACGCGUAGGCGGGUUGGAAAGUCAGGUGUGAAAUCCUACAGCUUAACUGUAGAACUGCACUUGAAACUUCUAAUCUAGAGUAUGGGAGGGGGAGAUGGAAUUAGUGGUGUAGGGGUAAAAUCCGUAGAUAUCACUAGGAAUACCUAAAGCGAAGGCGACCUCCUGGAACAUUACUGACGCUAAGGCGUGAAAGCGUGGGGAGCAAACAGGAUUAGAUACCCGGGUAGUC